rnacentral:rRNA from 1 species
ACGAGUUUGAUCCUGGCUCAGGACGACGCUGGCGGCGUGCUUAACACAUGCAAGUCGAGCGGAAAGGCUCCUUCGGGGGUACUCGAGCGGCGAACGGGUGAGUAACACGUGAGUAAUCUGCCCUUGGCUUUGGGAUAAGCCCCGGAAACGGGGUCUAAUACCGGAUAUGACCGGCCACUGCAUGGUGGUUGGUGGAAAGUUUUUUCGGCCAGGGAUGUGCUCGCGGCCUAUCAGCUUGUUGGUGGGGUAAUGGCCUACCAAGGCUUCGACGGGUAGCCGGCCUGAGAGGGUGACCGGCCACACUGGGACUGAGACACGGCCCAGACUCCUACGGGAGGCAGCAGUGGGGAAUAUUGGACAAUGGGCGGAAGCCUGAUCCAGCAACGCCGCGUGAGGGAUGACGGCCUUCGGGUUGUAAACCUCUUUCAGUACCGACGAAGCGCCGAUGAUGGUGGUGACGGUAGGUACAGAAGAAGCACCGGCCAACUACGUG